AUAACUCCGAUUAAUCUGAUUUUUGGAUAUGUUAUACAUGGUAUGUAAGACUAUUUUUAAAAAAUAUGAAUUACCCAAUUCGGGUUCAUUUAGUAGCCCAAACAGUGCGUCAAAAGUGGACGUUCAUAACAGUUUUCAAUCUCGUUUCAGCUUUACCCUCUUCCGCUAAAACAGUCAUAACUCUUUCAUUUUAAAACAUUUUUGAGCGAUUCUUGAGCCCACGCGAAGCUAACUUCUGGGGCUACAACUUUUAUUCUUUGACCAUUUCCAAAUUCUGAACACAUCAGCCCAGAAAUUCCGUUCAAAUGGACUGCACCGCACUUGUUGGGAAGUUUUGACACUACUACUUUGAAAUGUCAUAACUCUCUCCUCCGAUAUCGGAUUUAGUCCGUUUCGGAGUCU
rnacentral:lncRNA from 1 species